AUAAUAAUAAUAACUUAUUAAUAUUCAUUUAUUUUUAAAUUAUUUAAAAUAUUUGAUCCUUUCGUACUAAAAUAUUUAAUUUUUUUAAAGAUAGAAACCAACCUGG
rnacentral:rRNA from 1 species